AAAGACAAGAGAAGAGUGCUGAGUAACUAAGAGUUGAAGCAUGGAAUUAUAUAUGGACUAAUAUAUAAUCUCAAAGGUAAUAGAGAAAUAGAAAUACAGUAAAAAGUACUGGACUGCAUUACAUCGGUUUAUCUAAUGCAUGUGAGUUUCAUAUUAAAUAAAUCAAUCAAUUCAAAAAGAACAAUGUGACAAAAGAAAAAAAGUUAAAUAGAAGAAAGGUAAUGUCAGUGAGAUGAGACUGCAGAAGGGGAGCAAUUAAAAAAAGGCAACAGAAAAAAUGAAAUGAAAAAGUGGAGAAAGACAAAUUAUAAUGAAAAGGAAUACAGUCAGAGGAAGGAGAAAAAGGAAAAUUGCAGAAGGAAGAAGGUAAAUGAAAGAAAGAGGGAUCUGGAGGGAAAAGGAAGAUGAUGUUGGUAUUUGCUUGUUAUUCCACCACUAAUUUUCCCCCUGGAGCUCAUUAGAGUCUGGAGAGAAACGAACCACAAAACCUUAAAAACCAACGGAGUGGAGAAAGAGGGAGAGAGAGAGAGUCACGCAUCCACAGUAACGGAAGGCAAUGAGUUAUGUUGAGAGGAGGAAAAUUAAACAGCUAGGGAUAAAUAGAAAAACAAAAGUGAAAACUAAAUGAAAUGUAUGGCGAGCAGUAAAAAUAUCAACCAUUAGAAAAGCAAGACAGAAAGUGAGGUAAAAAAAAAAAUAAAACAAAGCAGA